rnacentral:lncRNA from 1 species
CUGAGCUCAUAUGCUCACUAAUCAGAAGUGUUUAUGCCCUUUCUUGGCUUCUGGCAAUUCCCAUAAUGUCCAGGUCCUUGUAGGUUUAAAAUUAAUUCUAAUUCACAGUAGAAAAUUACCUUUGUGAUGCUCUAGAUUUGCACGAUUAAUAUCCCAAAUGCUGAUAAUGAUAGUAAUGAAAGUUUCUUUCUUAUUUUAUAAGAACUUUGUGAAAGGUCAGCUGAAGCAAAUGUGUUUCCUGAUGGCUACUUUAAAAGUUGAUUCCAGAGCUAUCUGCACUUAAUACUCAUAGAAAUCAUUAACUGGUUUCUCAACCAAAACUAAAAUAGAAAUCCAGUCACUUCUCCAUGUCUCUGUUGGACAUAGAAGUGAAAAUAAGCUUCCUAGGAAGGCAGUGGAACAAUGAUCCAAAGGGGCAAACAUCAAGAGUUUCCGUUGUGGCGGGUGAAGGAUUCACGCUGUCUCUGUGAGGAUGUGGGUUUGAUCCCUGGCCUGGCUCAGCGGGUUAAGGAUCCAGAGUUACUGCAAAUUGUGACAUAGGUCGCAGAUGCAGCUCUGACCCAUUGUUGCCAUGGCUGUGGCGUAGGUUGCAGCUGCAGCUCUGAUUUGUCCCCUGGCCCAGGAACUUCCAUUUGCCACUGUUAUGGCAUAAAAAAAAAAAGAAAAAAAAAGAGAGGGGGAGAACAUCAGUGGAAAAUAAAAUGUAAAACCUAACUGAUGAAAGGCAGGGCCACUUUUUUAAUUAAAAUGUAAGCAGAGAAGCAGGACUGCAGAGGAACUGAAGGCGUCUCGGUGACCAGAGAAUGCAUGCUCUUGAACAUCAGUCUUUGUAUCAUGGUCUGAGGGAAAGAGGAGAAUAAGUGCACUGGGGAAAAGUAGAUGUUCUCCAUGUGCUUGGGGUUUGUUUAGGGAUGUAUCUUUCGGUAUUCCUACCCCGGGCCAUUUCUUUAAUUCAUUCACUCAACAAAUUUCUAUUAACAUCCACUGCGUACCAGAGCAGUAUUCUAAGCCCAGGGGAUCUGCAGCAAACCAAGGCUCUGCUCCCAAGGACCUUGUAUUCUAGCGGAAAUUCCCUGGAGGUAGCUCUGUGCCCUGCGUCCUAGUGCCUUUGCUCCAGUGGCCUGCCUUUGCCACCUUCCUCUCAGCUCCAGACCCACAGUGGAGGCAUGUGAAUUAACAUAUCAUACCCACAGAACCCAGUUUUAGAAUUCAGGGGUGAUGCAGGCAGCAGAAAUCCCCGUUUAGUUGGCAAAGCCUUCAGAGUGCCAUAAAUCACUCAUACGGAAAGAAACCUUUAGUUCUUUCUUUGAUAAGAAAAGGUAGCCCUUGUUACCUCUGGGUAAACAGCCAUCACCUCUUUCCUUAUCUCCCUCCCUCCUCUUGCAUUCACUCUGUGUGCUCGUCCUGGUGUCUGCCUCCCUGGCAGGGGGACAGCAGUGAACACAGUGCCAGACGAUGCAGAGUUGAACUGUGGCAAUGUCUCUUUGCAGAGAGGGCCUUGCAAAGUGAGACCAAGGUCCACGUCUGGUGGGCGGGGGGGUAGGGUCCUGCUCUUUCCACUGACUCUGGGACACAGGGCAAGUAAGGGAACAUUUUCACUGCUGCAGGUAUUAAAGUAGAGAUGCUCUAAGCCUCCUCUCAGUCUGGAGGGUCUACGCCUUUAAAUAAUUGCUAUAACACAAAUAAAUGAAGAACUGAAAAUUAGAAAGUGGACUAACACAUCAAGAAGGAAUUUAUGGACUGUACCUGACGUUCAUCGAUAGCAAUGGAAGAUCAGUGAGCAGGGAGAAAAACGGCGUGUCCUCCAAAAAGUGACUUGAACAAGGUCACCCAGCGAACAGAGAAUGUCUCCUAUGGGGGUAUUGUUGCCUUAUUUUUCAUCAAGGCUCAAACUAUUAUGCUUGGCAGUUUCUCCACUGGACUUGUCAUCUCUAUAUAAAUUAGUCGACAGCUGUAGCCAGCUGUUUUGUCAGAAGUAACAGAAUCUCCAUAUAAAAGCUGAAUCUGGUGUUUUCCAAACACAGCUUUUUUGCCCUGAAACUGCAGACCUAAGCUGGCGUUGCCAUUCUUAAACAUAAAAUGCAUACACACUGAGGGCGUUUACCCUGGAAGUUCUGGGGGGUUGUUCCUGCUACAUGAUCUGCAUGACGAUUCGUGACCCGAAGACUGGGUAAAAAUCUGGCAGGAAAAUUUCUACGUUUUUCCUUUUCCUCCACCCCCAAAUUGGAAAAUAUUCAUAUAGGGAAUCCUUAGAAACGAAAAAACAGUUUUAAAAAAAUAGCCUGAUUUUUCCAGUCCUUCACAUUUCUAAUAAUGGUGGGCCUGGAAGGUUCCACUAAUGUUUUCCAAACACUACACAGACCACAUAACUGAUAUAAAUAGAACUAGGUCUAAAUAACUUAUGAAAAUAGCACUCAGGGCUCCUGCAGAGGCCAUCUGUGAGAUGGUCCUUUCCUAAUGAGCCUGUGACUUCAGGGAGUCACACAUUCCCCCAUUUGGAUCCAAACCCUUUCGGAGGAAUUAGAUAACAAUCUUUAUUGGGGGGCGGGGGCAGCAGAAUUAGAAGGUGGAAAAGGAUUGAGGAUAUGAGAAUGGGCCAAGUGGAAGCCUAUGUCUAAAUUCCAAAGACUAAAGCAUGGUCAGGAACAAGAACCAUUUCCACUGAAAACUCGCCAUCCAAUGAUCCCUUUGCCCUGGAUCCUCAGUAAAUACUUGACAUUAAACACGCAGCAUUUAUGAAAACAUCCAGUAUUUACCUAACCAUCAGCUCUGUUUAUUAGGCACAUUUCCUGGUGGAACUGGCACAGCAUUUUGCUUGUCGACACUGUUUAUCAUUUCUAGCCACGCGCUCAUCAGAUAAGAAACCUAGAAGCCAAAGGAAAGCGAGGGAAAAGCGGGGCGGGGGGGGGGGUGUUGACGGUCUGGGGGUGCAGUACGAGAGAGGAGAAGCAGGGGAAGGGCUGCUUACAUUGGAGGUACUCUCCUACACUCGAUGUGAAUGGCCAGAGCAGUGCAGGUACUCAAACUGGAAACAAAAUUUCAAAACAUCUUCAUGACUGAAUCACUGAUUUAACAAUUUCCUACUCUUUCACCCAUUUUCUUAUUUUGCAAACUCUGAGAAUUCAUCUUAGUCCCCUAUCAGAUAAAUGGAAACAUUAAUUCUUCUGAGAUUGCUCAGUACUGAAAGUAUCCUUAAACAAAGGUGUUCAGCCUCAAUCUCGUUAAAUGUUUCUGAAAAUUAGGUAUUUGACUCUAAAUACACCAACAGGGAGACAGCCUGUGGGUAUUUCCAUAAGGUUUUGGAACACUCAGAGGUAUGUGGCCUUAUGAUUAUUGGACAUAAUAACAACAUACACGAAAAAAACCUAGAAUUUAUAAAACUGUAAUAAAACCUGGCAAAUGGAUAAAGAAUCCCUGAGAUGUGCACAUACACAGAAAUAAGUUUUAAUUCUCACUGCUUCGAAAAGUACUAAAGACAGCCACAGAGGUGUAUAUUAAAACCACAUCCAUAAAUCUUAAUCAUUUAAAACCUGAAGAAAACCAUGGAUUCUUGAGGAAAAGGCACUACACACAAAACUUCAAUAUUUUAAAAUGUUUUAAACUUUUCAAAAUUUAUGGAAUUCUCCUUGUGGUGCAAUGGAUUAAGGAGGUGUUAUCACUGCAGUGGCUCAUGUUGCUGCUGUGGUGCAAGUUUGACACCUGGCCCGGGAAUUUCCAUAUCCUGCAGGUGCAGCCAGGAAAAAAAAAAAGAGAGAGAGAGAGAGAAUUUUCUAGGGCUGCACCUGAGGCACAUGAAAGUUCCCAGGCUAGGGGUUGAAUCCGAGCUGUAGCUACUGGCAUACACCAGAGCCACAGCAAAGCAGGAUCUGAGCUGCAUCUCUGACCUGCGCCACAGCUUGCAGCAACACUGGAUCCCCGACCCACUGAGCGGUGAGGCCAGGGAUCGAACCUACAUCCUUAUGGAUACUAGUCGGAUUCAUUUCUGCUGCACCACAAUAGAAACUCCCUAAAUUUUCAAAAUUUAAAAAUCAUGUACUUUUAAAAAUUGUUUGAUUAUAUUAUAAAUUCCACAUUAUC